AACGAACGCUGACGGCAGGCCUAACACAUGCAAGUCGAACGCACCGCAAGGUGAGUGGCGCACGGGUGAGUAACACGUGGGAAUGUACCCUUUGGUUCGGAAUAACGCCUGGAAACGGACGCUAAUACCGGAUGAGCCCUGCGGGGGAAAGAUUUAUCGCCAAAGGAGCAGCCCGCGUCUGAUUAGCUAGUUGGUGGGGUAAAGGCCUACCAAGGCGACGAUCAGUAGCUGGUCUGAGAGGAUGAUCAGCCACACUGGGACUGAGACACGGCCCAGACUCCUACGGGAGGCAGCAGUGGGGAAUAUUGGACAAUGGGCGGAAGCCUGAUCCAGCCAUGCCGCGUGAGUGAUGAAGGCCUUCGGGUUGUAAAGCUCUUUCGCACGCGACGAUGAUGACGGUAGCGUGAGAAGAAGCCCCGGCUAACUUCGUGCCAGCCGCCGCGGUAACAC
rnacentral:rRNA from 1 species